rnacentral:rRNA from 1 species
AGCAGUAGCCGCGGUAAAACGUAGGGUGCAAGCGUUAAUCGGAAUUACUGGGCGUAAAGCGUGCGCAGGCGGUUAUAUAAGACAGAUGUGAAAUCCCCGGGCUCAACCUGGGAACUGCAUUUGUGACUGUAUAGCUAGAGUACGGCAGAGGGGGAUGGAAUUCCGCGUGUAGCAGUGAAAUGCGUAGAUAUGCGGAGGAACACCGAUGGCGAAGGCAAUCCCCUGGGCCUGUACUGACGCUCAUGCACGAAAGCGUGGGGAGCAAACAGGAUUAGAUACCCCUGUAGUCCCUGUCUCUUAUAC